rnacentral:misc_RNA from 1 species
UUUCCGUAGGUGAACCUGCGGAAGGAUCAUUAUUGUAUAACCGAGGUGCGAGGGCUGUCGCUGAUCCGAGAUGUCGUGCACGCCCGAGUGCCCUCACACCCUUCCAUCUCACCCCUAUGUGCACCACCGCGUGGGUCACCCUUUGGCGUGUUCGGAGGGGGGCUUACGUUUUCACACAAACUUUGUAUGCAGUGUAGAAUGUAUUUUUUGUUUUUGCGAUCACGCAAUCAAUACAACUUUCAACAACGGAUCUCUUGGCUCUC